AUUGAACGCUGGCGGCAUGCCUUACACAUGCAAGUCGAGCGGCAGCACGGGAGCAAUCCUGGUGGCGAGUGGCGAACGGGUGAGUAAUGCGUCGGAACGUGCCGAGUAGUGGGGGAUAACGCAUCGAAAGGUGUGCUAAUACCGCAUACGAACUGAGGUUGAAAGUGGGGGACCUUCGGGCCUCACGCUAUUCGAGCGGCCGACGUCUGAUUAGCUAGUUGGUGAGGUAAAGGCGCACCAAGGCGACGAUCAGUAGCGGGUCUGAGAGGAUGAUCCGCCACACUGGGACUGAGACACGGCCCAGACUCCUACGGGAGGCAGCAGUGGGGAAUUUUGGACAAUGGGCGCAAGCCUGAUCCAGCCAUGCCGCGUGUCUGAAGAAGGCCUUCGGGUUGUAAAGGACUUUUGUCCGGGAGCAAAUGCCUGGUGUUAAUAGCAUCGGGAGCUGAGAGUACCGGAAGAAUAAGCACCGGCUAACUACGUGCCAGCAGCCGCCGUAACAC
rnacentral:rRNA from 1 species